rnacentral:rRNA from 1 species
GAACAGAGCUACACCCCAGUUUCGGGAACAUAGAACGUUAAACGUUCGUUGUACUUGCCGCUCGCAGGCGUUUGCGUUUGUGCACACGUCCCUCCUUCGUGGCAGCCUCUGCUUUGGUUUCGUCGUUUUUGUUGAAGAGGCCAAUUAUUAGGUUAGUAGCGUGCCUUUGUGGUGCAGAGCAGAGAGGUACAUCGUUUUCGUUAACCAUCGUCUUCUUUCUGCGGUGCGUUUCGGGUCAGGCCGCAGCGGAGGAGGAGGAGGCCGCUAUCCCAAAGAGGGCUACCUCGUCGAGAGGUGGAGGAGCGGCCGCCGCGGCGGGGGCGGGGGCACCGCCGGCGGCUGCUUCUAGUCCGACGCCGCGGUCUCCGACCUCCGCGAGGACGUCCUCGAGGCCGUCUGCGAGCUGCCCGACCCGCUGCGGCUAGAGCCGCGGAGAGAGAGGCUGCGCCUGCGGAUGUGGCUCCGCGGGCUCAUGCCCCUGUCGCUCCCGCCGCCUCUGCUGCUGCUGCCACUGAGCCGCCGAAGCUACCGCUCGCUGAGGCUGGCGCGGUGCCUGGUCCACAAACUAGAGGAAUUUAGAUCCAAACUCAGUGGUCUUAAAGAAGUCCUCAAGGUACUUUAAGUUUUCAGACAUACAGUUUUGCCACGUCAACUUAACCUAUGUAGUACCCUACACUAUUUCCGCCCUCUAAACACCCUUCUACUACUGCUGUUACCUAUACAAGAACAAUUCGGUCUCCUACGUCGACUUCCCUAUCGAAAGAAACAUCGGUGUAUGAAUAGCUGUGAAUGUUUUUGGUUCCUUAAUAGAGGACUAGCUGAAGUCUUUCGGGAAUUCUUCUGUAAAAGUCGGCUCUUCUCUUUUCCGUUUGAAGCCUUCCGUACCCUACCCUGUUUUCAGUAAAUAUUACAUCGAAGUACCCCACGGUGUCGACAACCGUAGAUGUUAUUGGUUCGUUAAGAAUUCCGUCGUCCGUGUCGGUAAGUCUACAGGACCGCACACCACAGGUUCAAGGACACUCACUACCCACCACCACUAACAACAAUGACCGCACGAUGUAAAUAAAUCCAUAUUUCCUAUGGUGUAACCAACCUUUACAGGCUCAUCAACUAUAUGACGGCUAACUUCUUAACUCCAGAUCUCAAAUCCAGAUAACCCUACGAACUUCCUAACUCCGAAUCGCAAAUCCAAACAACUAACUUCCGAGCCUUCGGGUAAAUUUAUUUAAUGCGACCACGAGCUUACAUUUAUCCGGUAAUUAAACCGACGCACUUCGUUGACUUCGAGUCGUAUACAUAGGAUUUUACAUUUAUACUAAGUAAACUAUUGAAGUGUAACCACGGUCUUAUUUGAAGCACUUAUUUGACGUGGUUGACUUACACUGGUAAACAAACUUAUGAAGAUAAAGACACGGUCUUUUCCGUAUACGAGUUUAACUAAC